CUUAUUUGAAUUUUUCUCAAUUUUAUCAAACGGCAUCUUUUAUUUUUCACUUAAUUUUACUCUAUUUUUAUUAAUCAUUUGAGUUUAACAUCUUAGUUAUUUUAUCUCCUUCUAUGAACUUCAUUUACGUAGAACCGGAAUUCAUAUAUAAUAGAAAAUACCACAGAGGUCACAUACAAUAAUAAAUCACGGUCAUUAUUUUUUAUCGAAUAACUCAUAUUAUACAAUUAGUAAAUUAAUUUUAAAAAUAUCAACCACUUAUUUAGAUGGUAUGGUUAAGAUCUAUAGCUGCAUGAAAUUCAUUUCCUGUUUAGUGAACUAGUAUAACGAGUCGUGUAUGUACGUGGUAUAUGGUUUUUAUAAUUUUUUAACAGAUUUUAUACAUGAUGACAGUAAAUUAUAUGAUUUUUUAGUAGUAAUUUAAGAUAGUUCAUUGAAGCCCAAAAACAAGCAAAUACAUGGAAAAGUGAAGUUACUUGGCCCAUAAGCAAGAAAAGUGGAAAAAGCAGCAAAAAAAGGGCAAAAACGUAAUAAACAGCGCAGCUAUCGUACCUACGAUGAGAUCCAGCGUGACGCGAUGAGAAGACAGUUUAAAUUGAAGAAAAUCUGCAACAAAUCAUUAUCAUCGUACCACGAUGACUUAUCAUCGUGGCACGAUGAAGGCAGUUGAAGAAAGCAUAAAAUCUGGAGAAGAUCUUCCAUCGUACCACGAUAUGAUCCAUUGUGGGAACGAUGAGGCGAAAAUACACGUCAUCGUGGCCACGAUGGGUGCGAUGGACGCGCAGAAAUAGUCCAAACCCAGCUGAAAAACUAUAAAUAGAGUCUUCUUCCUUCACUAUUAUUCAUUCCAAUAAUAUUCCAAAAUAUUCAGAGACAUUGAAUAUUCACUCUAGAGUUAUGAGAACUCUAAGGAGGAGACAAUGAGGGCCAAGGAACUUCAAGACCAAUAAGGUUUUUUUCUUUUCUGUCUUUGUAAUUUAUUUUCUCCUAGGUUAGGUGGAGUCGAUGAACUCCCUUACGAAUGUUUGAUUUUGUAUAAUUUGGGUAUAAAUUCAGUUGUUCCUAUUGAAACUCUUUUAUUGUCUGGUUUUUAUAUUUAUAUUAAUACUGAUCACAAUAUAAUAAAAUCUAAGGAAAUUAGUGGAUAUCAGAUAGGAAACGAAGCUAAUUAUCCCGAGCGAAGGAUGGUGUGCUAAGGUCCAACAUGAGACCAUUAAAUUCAGUAUCUGAGGUCUUAGUAGUAUAGGAUUAGACAGCUUAGUCUAGAACGAUAAAUUCUACCUGAAGUCAGAGUUAUGACUAGUUUGAGGCACAUGUGACAGCUUGCGAAACAUUGAGCCUUAAGGGUAAGGAUACCUAAGUUUAAACGAAAAAGUGGAACCAACUGGGGCGAGGAUAUUUAAGCAGAGUAAGACAACCUAAACUAGGCUCUCACCAGUUUGUAAUAGAAAUAGGGAACGAGUGCUUCUGAACCUAUUUUAUAAGACAAAUCCUGAUAGAGGGGAAUAAUGGAAUUAACCACCAAGCAGUAGUAAGAGAUGGAUUCGAAAACACUUAAUCACCCGCGUGAACACACACGCACCUUUAUUUUACUUUUUAGUCAUUUACUUUCCUGCAAUUUACUUUUUACCCGCACAACUAUCUCUAAACAAAGCGAAUGCAAAAUUAUUCAUAAGCGAAACUAGUAAUUUUGACAUUAUCCCUAUAGAGAACGAUAACUUAUCACUUUAUUACUUGGUUGCGAUUAUGUGCAUUUGCAGAGCCACCAUCAAUGCAUCAUAAUAUGCAUUAUGUAAAUUACAUAUAUUAAAUAUAGAUUUAAUUGCAUAUUAUAUUCAAUCUUAUUAUUUUAUUACAUUAACAAAACUGAUCCUUCAACCCUUCAGACCCGUCACCGAGAAAAUAAUAUUUUUGGUUACUCAAGUAUAAAUUUUAUUUUUUUAAUUUUGGUCUAAAUUCAUAAGUUUGUCCCUCAAUUUCAUAUUAAAAUUGGAGCAAUAAAUCAUCAUUUUUUUGACAAAAAAUUAAUUUUACAAAGGGAAUCAUUUUUGUGGGAGUAAUAAAAUAGUGACAACUAUAUAUACAUAAAAUAUAUUGUUAAAACUCUAGAAGAAGAUUUUUUUUAAGUAAUUAAAAAACGUAAAUAAAAUAAUUAAGGGAGAAUUGAAGGAUAUGAAUUGUCUGAUGUCUGUUUUCCUAUAACAAUGUGUACUGCACCAUUCUGAUCAUCUGACUGAUUAAUUCAAUGGUUCACAUAUUUCUUUAUAAUAAAAGAUGAUGAGAGAGUUGUAAAAAUGGAAAGAAGAAACCGAAAUUAAAACCGAUUUAAUCUCGUAGAAACUUGUCUUCUUCAAAUUACCUAAUGUUAUCUUAAAAUAAUAUUUUUAUAUAAGAGUUGAGAAUUUAUUGCAUUUUAGUCUUCAUUAAGAGAAAUUUUACUUUUUAAAUUUAUUAAAAAUAUAAUACAUCUUGUCAAUAAAUGAACUAAAUACAUUAGAGAAAAUUUUUAAAGUCUAAUAUAAGAAAAACUUUACUUUUUAAAUUCAUUAAAAAUAUAAUAUAUUUAAUCAAUAUAUGAACUAGAUACAUUAAAUUCCCAAUAAAUCUAAAAAGCAAAAUUUAUUUUAUAUUAAGAACUUGAGGCAGUAUUAAACACACCCUAAUCUAUAUCUAUACUCUAUAACAAAAGUAAUAUUAAGCUUAGUGCAUCGAUUCAUAUGUGGUGGGGUGGAAAUAAGCUGCAAUAUUAUUCGAUGUCAUGGUGAUACUUCUAAAUUGUGGUUGGAUCGAAGGGAGUAAGAAAGAAGAUAAUCAAAGUAAAUACUUUUUUUUAUUACUAUGAUAUUGUUAUCAGGUUUUUACCGGCGUUAGCGAUAAUUAAUCUCCAUCGAAGAAUCUAUGGGACAUACAAAGUGGGUUCUCCCCUCCCAAAAUAAUUUUCUUCAUACGAAUGAGCCAAGAAUCGAACUCACCCCUGACCACAUGCUUAAGAAAACCAAAACUCUUAGUACUACUUGGACCAAUUCAUUGUUGAUAAAUACUAUAUUUUUUAUACUAUCAUUUUUUAGUACAAAAUCAUAUAUAAUUGUACUCAUAGAAUCUCAAUUGAGUUACAUUUUUUAUCAAUGCACUUAAUAGCGUAAAACAUGUUCGCACUUUGUGGACAAUCGGCAUCGGUGUCACAAUCAAUAUUGUUCUCAUUAUUAAUAUAUAUAUACACUGUAAUGAAAAAAGAUAAUAAAAUAAUGUUACUAAACUAUGAUAAAAAGUUGUAUAUAUGAAUUAUGAAGCUAAGAAGGAAAUUUGAAAACGAUAAAAAAAUUGGCUUAACACCACCAAUAUAUGUUGCGACAAGAAAUUGAGUCAUACCAAAAAUAUAUAAACUUGAGAAUUUUAGCUUAGUCCAUGGAAUCAUAAGUGGUGGGGUUGGAAAUAAGGUGUGAUAAUUUGUUGUAAGUGUGAUAAUUCUAAAAUUAAGAGAGAAGAAGAUAAUCAUAUUAUUUCGAAAAAAGAAGAUAAUCAAAAUAAUACCCUUUAUUUUCAUAUUAUCAUAGAGUACAAAAUCAUAAUUUCAAGGUUCAUGAAAUUAGGAAAAGAUUAUUUCUUUUUUUAUUGGGUGCUAGCACAAUAAUUAAAUGACACACCUCAUGAAAUAUUCUAUCAUAAAGUUUAUUGUAUAUUUUUUCUUAUAGUAGAGACGAGACACUNNN
rnacentral:lncRNA from 1 species